rnacentral:lncRNA from 1 species
CUUUAUUGGGUCAUAAAGUAUAAUAAAUUGUCCUUCACUACAUUCUGGCUGCCUAAUAAAAAGACCUAUUUGUCCUCCCUUGGAACUUACAGUUGAUUGAGUCAAGACCUUGGGGGACAGGCCUGAGGUUAAUACUGCAGGUUGGCUUCAUCCUGCUGCUGUGUCUGAUAAUAGCCUUCAUUAAUUGCUAUAUGAGACCAAAUGAACAAAUUUGGUACUGACUAAACAACCCGACUGUCAGGUUAAUCAGAGUAGCUGAUGGAGUGGCAUACUCAUGUGAAAAUUCAAGUUUGUCCAAGAACAUCUCAGGCUGAGGAGCAGACUGUUGGAAGAGACUAUCCACUAUGGCCUCUGAGUGUCCCUGCAUACUUACUGGGUAUGUCAAGAAUGCAAGGACUUUGUCUUUACCUAGUCCAUGUCCUAGGCUUGUGUUUACACUAAGCUAUCUUCAAGUAUGGGGUAAUAACUCCCUUUGGACAAAGACCAGGAUUUUUUUGCUUACUAUAAAAGCAGUUAAUAACCCAAGCUUACAACAUAACCCACUGUUUGCAGGCUUUCAUCAUGGGCCCUUUGUGUUCCUCCUGUGGGAACUAGAAAAAUGAGGAACUGAAUAAAACCAACAUGAAGCUCUGGCUACAGCUUUUGCUGUGAGUGAUAAAAGUCCUUUGUUUCUGACCCAGGUGUCUUAUGCAUUCUGUAGCAUCCCACGCAACAGUAACAGGCUAACUUGUUAGCUUAUAAGUAGGGUAAAAUCUCAGACCAUGCACAGUUAUUGACAGAUAUCAACUAUUUUCUUCUUGGCAAUAGCUGGCAUUUUAGGCACCAUGACUUGGCUAUCAAUACAUUUAUUAUUAGCAUGACAUAUUAUGAAAAAUUAUUUUCCAAAGACUUAGCCAGUAACACUACAAAAAUAGAAAGUCCGUUAAUUCCUGUGAAUUUAACUGUGUGUGUCCAUGUCCAGUAAUUAUUUCACUGUCUGUCUGAAGUACUAACAGUACUAAAUCCAAUGCUCGGCGCCACGCCUCAAUCUUUGGUGUAACAACGUCAUAAACUCUUGGAAUCUGCUCCAGUUUAUUUGAAAUGUCUGAAUUAAAAAUUCUACUAUUUAGUUUACUAUAUUCAUUCAAGAUGUAAGAUGAAGGAAAGCCAGAGUCUGUGGCAUUUUGCAGAUGAUGUUGAAUGUAUGUGCUGGCUUCAAAUUCUGAUGAGUAAUUGGCAGUGUUAUAUAGGAGAGUUGAAAGGUAUUUCUGCCAUCCAUUUGCCAGGAAUUUAAGCACAGUUGGUCUGUAUAUUGCCAGAGAUGAAGCCAGCCAAGAGGAAGUAUUAUGCAGCCACCCUGAGCAGGCAUGGUUUUCUUUUUUCAGAGAUUGCUCUGCAAGAAUUUGAAGACAGCUAAGACACAAAAAUUCAACUGCACCACCUCCAAGGAAGACCUUUUCCUCUUUUAGAGCAUAAUACAAACGAUAGGCACAUGUCCAGAACCUAUCUUCUUUGGUUUGCAUCUGUGCAGUAACCGGGUUAGUGAGCACGGCUGUAACCAAAUUAAUUCCUUCUGUUUUUAAUAAGAUUGCGAUUCUGUUGUUCCUAUCUACAACAUCCAAAGGGCUGCUUCUCCAGAAGGUCACACAGACCCCGUUGCCCACACAAUCUUCAUUCACUUGUGUAAUGUACGCCACCUGUACUGCUCCUGCAGCCUCUGCAAAAGCCUGCAUCACACUGCCAUUCACUGAGCCGAUUACCAACCGCUUACUGUUUAUACAUUUUUCAAUUAAGCGUUCAGACACAUUUCCUUGUACCAGGACAAGGUUCACCUUGAACUGGAUUAAUACCUGUAAUACGUGAUUUGCCCACAGUUCUUCUGAGCUGUCUUCUUGAAGCUGCAUGCUAUCUAAUACUGUUUUAAUAUUUGCAGACUUAUUAAAUCCCAGGUGGCGGUAAUUCUCUGUGAGGUCACCCUCAAUGAGAACUAUUCGGACAGGCUGAUUCUGCAAUUCCUUGAUCACAGGAUUAUUAGAUACUGACACAACAGUGAUAUAUCCUGGACAAACACAAGAAGAAGUUUCAGCUGUACUGCUUCUUCUACUAACUUCAUGCUGCUAUGAUCUCCAUGACUCAAGCCUACUGCCAACUCUACCAAAUCAUUACAUCUGUAAGUUUUGUGAGUAGCUGUAACAUGUUCUUGAAAUCCAUCUGGUUUGCUUACCUCUUCAGUAUUAUCUGUCCUAUUAAAAUGCCUACUGUGGAUUAGUAUUGACUGUCUGCAGCAGGUAUCUGCAAGCAGGCUGUUUUUCAGAGUUCGUGAUGUGUUCUUAUCUGCUUCAACCUUUGUCUGAGGUUUAAAUAAUUCAGAUGAUUUAAGAGGUCUCCCAGAAAGGUUGGAAAUGGUCAGUGUUUGAGAGGCAACAUCUUUGAGAGCAUGCUCUUCCUCUAUCAAAUCAGUAUCUGAAGGGACCUGUAGAAAAGGACACAAACUUACACUAAAUGUUUCAAGUUGAGAAAAUGUUUUUGUGCUGUCCAUACAGUCAAAUAUAUUGUGAACAGGUACAUGAAGAGAAACUACCUCUUCACUACAAAAGUUUAAGCCUUCUGACAUUACUGACACUAUUAUGGAAAUGGGGACACCAAGAUGAAGACAUUCUUCAACUGCACUGCUCCAAGCACCAACAAGAAACAAAAGAGUACUGAUUCCAGUUCUAUAUGUGUUAUUUUGUGCUUGAACUGCUUCAUUGAGAAGUUGUCCCACUGCACUGGUUAAAUCCAAACUUUCAAGAAGCCUUACUGUUGAACUGAUUAAUACACUUUCAUGACAUUCUUCAUCUAUAAUAAAUUUGGAUGAUUUUAGUGGGCCUAGGAAAGUUCUUCCUGUUUCCGCGAAUGAUGAAAGUUGUUGAAGUCCCAUGUGUCUUCUUUUGUUUACGACUCUGCAAGCCAUCACCAUGUAUCAUGAUCUGCAAA